AAAUCUGAGGGCGAUCUGGCUGCGACAUCUGUCACCCCACUGAUCGCCAGGGUUGAUUCGGCUGAUCUGGCUGGCUAGGCGGGUGUCCCCUUCCUCCCUCACCGCUCCAUGUGCGUCCCUCCCGAAGCUGCACGCUCGGUCGAAGAGGACGACCAUCCCCGAUAGAGGAGAGGACCGUUCUUCGGUCAAGGGUAUACGAGUAGCUGCGCUCCCCUGCACUGUCAUUUUUGAUAGAAUAGUGUAAAUAGUAAAGUUCUAGUAAAAUUUUAGCAGACCCAAUUAUCACUAGUUUUUAUU
rnacentral:snRNA from 1 species